rnacentral:rRNA from 1 species
GGUGCAGUAGUGGACGAUGACACGCGAAAAAAUGACCUGGGCGAGCUAACUGCGCAACCGAAGAGGGGGACCAGGUAGGGGACUAAGGAGAGGGAGAGGGAACGGACGGCGGCGGUGGUGAGUGGUCGCGGUAGAGGGUGUCGGCGGCAGUCGUGCCGCGGGAGGGGGCCCUCCUUCUUCCCACGUCUCCGUCGUCGGUCGGCGCUGAUUGGUGGCCGCAGGAGGGGGCUGUCCUUUCUCCUCCGGCGCUGAGUAGUGGCCGCGGGAGGGGGCCGUCCUUCUCCUCCCGUCUCCGUCGUCGGUCGGCGCUGAGCAGGCACAGCGCAAAACCGGGUCUACACCGGCGGGGCACGAGACGGGCAGCUGGAGCUAGGCUGGAGCCGUCAUCCUCGAGUUCGGCUACUCGCGCCGGAGUUAGGCCUGAGCCGUCCUCCUGUACGCGGUAGAGUAAGGGGAAGUGAAAACCAGCGUGGAGGGGGGUCCCAACGAUCUCUACCUCUGAAAGUACUGUAGAACAGUGGAGGUUUAUUUAUCUCUCCUUUUCGUCUACUCUUAUAACCAAGCUUUUAAGUUUCAUAGUUUCUUAACCAGACCGGAAACCAGUACCAUUCACUUGAGUCUAAAUAUUCCAGUCGACUUACUAUAGUAACAACAAAAUUUCAACUAAUGUAGCUUAUCCUAACUUUCCGACUUUACAACAACGAAAAAAAAGGAAGAGACUUCUUUAAUUAAUUCGACAACAAACCGGACACUAUAGAACACCAACAACCUCCCGAGGGUAGAUCGUGAUAGACGACCAGAUGUUUCUCAGUCCUCCGUGUACGACCCAAGUGAAACUACCCACCAUGAAAGUACAGUAAUGACCGACUAAUAACACUAAUAAAGUGGUCUUUAGCCCGUAUGAAGACGAUUACAACGUCUCCACCAAACAAUAAGCCUUGUAUCACGACAGUUUGUAUAGUGAUACUGUAAAGUCUGCCUUCCUUUGGACUAAUAACGAACCCCGAAGUAGAAACCGUUUACGAUAGAAUACCUACAUAGGCGAAAGUGUAAACACAAGUCUCAUGUUUGUCUCCGGUGUGUUAUCAACAACAACGACUAACAAAAAGAAGAUGUUUUCUACAACAAAUUCCAAUAACGAGUAGCUGGGAGAUUAAUCAGAACAACUUAAUUGAAGGUCUUGUAAACCAAGUAAAUUAUUUUACUCCACAGAAAGAUCGAACUCAAUACUAAACGUGUUAACAGGAUUAUGUAGUACUAAAUGGAUAACUAUUCACCAACGUGCUACUACGGUUUAAAUUAUUACGGCCUCAACUCUCUCUAUACUUUUGCUGAUAGUCCAGUUUCAUUCGUGGUGGACGAUGCGUUCGCUACAUGCCGCUACCGCUCGUGGUGACUCACACGUGCCACGUCUUCAGAGAUACCCUUCCCCCCGCCGACAGCCUAAAAUAACUUCGUUUUUUAACCAAAGACUACGUAAGUUUUUAGUUAUUAGUAGUCGCCGUUGUUUUAAAUGUUCUGGCCGGUCACCUACCACUGAUAGAGGUGUGAACUAGAAAGAUAAACUGUGACGUAUUGUAUAAUACCGCAGUAUUCUUGUCAGAAUACACUGCGGGCGUUCUCCCUGCACCAGAUGUAACUCGUCAUGAUGCUACCGCGGCUACUUGUAGACGAGUUCGUCCGCUACUACUUGCGCUCGCAGCCGAGUCACCCCCGUCACCUCCCAACAGCUUCAUUAUUCUCAUCAGACAUUAUGUAAAAGAUACGGUAGUACCGAUGGUAUUCUUCCUUCCCGGAGCCGGCUUUAGAGGUAGUCCAACGCGGGAGCUGGUCGUAGAGGUAGUUUAGGGCAGCUGCAACGUUGAAGGCUGCUGUGUAGGUCACAGCAACGGCUCAAGCGGCCGCCUUCUUCUUGUAAGCAGCUCGGCAGGUUACAGUGGACGCGCCGACGAUGUGCUCUCCACGGUUUCCACAGGCUAACUUGAGUCAACCUCCGGUUUGUCCAAGCCGAGAGCCUGUACGGUGGUUAUUACGAGCUACUGUGGCUACGCAUCUGAGGUUGACGUUACUUCAGGAGGUAUCUCUUCCCAAACGUCUUUUACUAGAACCGUAGGGUCUAUUCAUCCAGCCCCAGUUUCGGUCACGGUUCCCCCUAAGGUUACCUAGUGGUUGUGCUCUUUGAUUUUACCGUCCUGGUCUUUUCUACCAGGGUCUAGAGUGACGUCGGCCUACACGUUCUUGUGUGGUUACUAGUAGACACUCUGAUUGUGACUUAAAAAAAGCUACCUCGUAAUGGAGACGAUAAAUCGAAGAUCUCAUGUUAGUGAACGUGCAUGUUGAUAUUGUCGAUCGUCAUACCAAAUAGGGGAAGACCAAGAUGAUAAAGAGAUCUCACUACCGUAUCCUUCUCGUACACAUAUACAACUCCAAUCAGAAGACUUUGAUUACGACGUCUACAAGUAACAUCUGAGUCGUACACAUAAAUAAAAUAAAAAUGAAGAAACACUACAAACAACCAAACCGUACACCUAUUCUAAAAAAAAAAUCAAAUACUGAAGAAAGUACAAUCGCAAAAAUACGACUCGACAUCUA